rnacentral:rRNA from 1 species
UACGUAGGUCCCGAGCGUUGUCCGGAUUUAUUGGGUGUAAAGCGAGCGCAGGUGGUUUAUUAAGUCUGGUGUAAAAGGCAGUGGCUCAACCAUUGUAUGCAUUGGAAACUGGUAGACUUGAGUGCAGGAGAGGAGAGUGGAAUUCCAUGUGUAGCGGUGAAGUGCGUAGAUAUAUGGAGGAACACCGGUGGCGAAAGCGGCUCUCUGGCCUGUAACUGACACUGAGGCUCGAAAGCGUGGGGAGCAAACAGG